UUUUAGUGAGACAGGGUUUCACCAUCUUGGCCAGGCUGCUCUUGAACUCCUGACCUUGUGAUCCAGCCACCUCGGCCUCCCAAAGUGCUGGGAUUACAGGCGUGAGCCACCGCACCUGGCCUUUUUGCUUUCUUCUUUUACUCCACAUGAUGCCUUUUAGAUUUGUCGAGGGUUCCAAUGGGCACUUAGAGAUUGAAAGCCACUGCUCCAGAAACGGCUUCUCAAUCUCCAGUGCGUACACAAAUCACCCGGGGAUGCAGGUUUUGACUCAGUAGGUUCAUGGUAGGACCUGAGAUUCUGCAUUUGUGAGAAGCUCCCAGCUGCUGCUGGUCCAUGGCCCCAUCUGAGUAUUGCUGAGUCACUGGGGAUCUGCCUGUUCAGC
rnacentral:lncRNA from 1 species